AGACAGGCUCAGAGAAGUCACCUGUGCUGGCCACUCAUUUACUUCUGACAUACUACAGGCUCCAGGCUAAAACAUCAUUGGGAGUUUGAGUGAGGCCAACAUGGGCUCUGGCUAUGUGGGGACAACCUGUCUGAAAACCUAAGGCUGAGCCUAGCAAGUGCUACUUGACUGAGGAUGGAAAUGGAAAACAGAGUAGUCACACUCACAGCUGAGCACUGCUGUCUAUAAAAGCAUCCUCCUGGGGCCGGUUCAGGAGAAAAGUGUUCUCCACAUGUCGUCAAAGGCACGGCAGCCUGUCCAUAAUCCCAGUGCUCAGGAAGUGGAGAUCCCAGGAACAAACCGGCUAGCUAGACUGAACAACCAAACAUGGUGAACUCUGAAUUCAGUGAGAUCUUGCAUGACUAAAAAAAGGUUUUCUUGUGGAUUCACCUGUAUAGGGGGAGCCUUUGGACAACGACUCAGCACAUCUUUCUCACGGGUCUCCCACAUCUUGCUAGGCACCCAAUUUUCUGACCUGUCAGGCAUGCCCUAACUUAGUAGUACAACUGAUUCUCCUUAGCAUACAGGACAGCUUGGAGGAGGCAAACUGGAAAGAACAGAACAGCAAGCAGCUGCUGACUCAAAGGACCCAGACAUCCUGUCUGGAGCAUGCGCCUUCCAAAGACAGCCCCUAGCUCAGGGCCUCUGGUGGAUGCUCAAACUAUUAAAGCAAGUGAC
rnacentral:lncRNA from 1 species